UCCUGUGUAUACACACGGAGAGCGCAUGUGUUACACACACAACGAAGUUAGUAAUAACAAAUCCUCAAUUAGUUCGAAGUACUGAAGUUUUUUCAAUAUUUCUCGAUUUUAAAAGUUCCAAAAAUCCUGGAAAGAGACAAAAUCGCAAGUCGUGCCGACGGUAAACACGAUAAUAUACCGCUUUUUCAGUGCAACGAAAUGUUGAAGUACCACGUCCCGCGAUGCCGGAACAGAAUAAUUUCGAAUGAGAUAAACUAAUAGGAGAUAUUUUCAGCUAUCCCAUGCAUUCGCUCCAUGGAUCGGGAACGGGAACGACACUGCUUCGAUAUAACCUCUCAACACAUUUGUUUAUCGGAUUGCAUUAUUUUUAUAGUACAGGUGCGAUAAUUUUACAGUUUUAAAUUUUAAAAUAAUUAAGUAAACUGCUAUUUCAUCAUUUCGAAACAUUUUUGGAGACAGUUCUUGUAUUAUAAUUUGAAAAAUUAAAAAAUGUUCAAAUUUAUUUGGAUUCGAUCGAUGGUUUAUUACUAUUUCAUGCUUUUUUCCUUUGCCUACCACACUUGAACAAAGCAGGGAGUAGACUACUUUCUUAUUCCACGUACUUUGCAUAUUGCCAGUGUACCCAAUAUUGCUGCGGUUUAUUGACAUUUUGGUUCAAUAAAUUACUGUUGUUUACAACUCGGUUCGGUUAUAUAGUCGAAUAGUGGCUAACUUUAAACUCCAUGUUAAAUGUGAACACCUCCAUGUGAAACCGAAAUAUGAAAAUCGCUCAUGCUGUUAGAAUAAAGCAGCGCAUUUUUCGAUUUCAAUCCUCGUAAAUGAUAUGUUGAUAAACAAAUGACGCCAUAUUGAUUUUGAUUUUGGGUAGCCUAUAUUCAAUUGAUGUCUAACCCCUGGUUUAGAUUUGGUGCGCUCCGUCGCAUUUGUGUACAAAAAGAUCAAUUUAAAAACAAUUUUCGUGCUCAGGAAUAUUUUUGUGUACUCUCUGAGUUGAGCACUACCGACCGCGUGAGCUGUCCGAAAUUGCAUCAUGUGUCUGCUGCGGGAACUUUACGGACCGGGGAUGGAACGCCUACGCAAUGAAACAAUUAACUUCAUAACGCCCUCGAGCCGGAAGGUGGAAAUCAAGACCACCAGCAGUAAUUACCACAUCAAGGUGAAUCCAUAGAAUGCCGGGAUAUAUGACAGGGUGGUGGAUUUUAUCAAGCAAAUUGCUCAGACGCAGCAGAUUGACCCCAGUGGAUAAGCUGCCCAAAGAUGCCCAGCAUGCGCUGAGAAGAGCCAUGGGAAAGUAGGUGUCUACGUGCAAAUUGAUCCUGUGCGUCAUUUAUACUUCACUUCACAUACAUUUAUACUUGUUUGGAAAUAAGAGUAACACCUCCAUCUGAGGAGGAUAUUCUAAAAAAAUCACAUCGGGAAGAAAAGAAUUACCGCUAAGUUCGAGCGCAAUUUGCGACGCGCUAUCUGGAAGCUUGCAAGGUACAACAGUAUCCAUUUACGGUGCAACAGAUGGUGCCAGAAAUCGACUGAUAAGCAUUCCUUCGAGAAAUCGCCAAUCAGAUUGUCCUCGAGCAAAGUCCACAGAAGCUGGGAGCGGUGAGGGUACGGUUAUACGAGCAAUAUGAGUCGGAAGACGAAAACGUUGAACUUUGCCGGAUGCAGCAAAGAAACAAACAUAUAUUCCACCUGGAAGCGUUUGUGGCGUAGUUUAUAGCACUGUAUAAAAAGUUUCUCAACCAAGCAUCCUCAUGUAAAAGGAUGAUUAUUGAGCGAUUUAUCGAGAUCGUAAAUUUCUUUCGUUUUAUUAAAAAAAUAAUAAACUUUUUAUGUUCAUCUUACGUUUACUAACUACAAUUAAAUAGUUCAGGUAAUACUUAACUCUAAACAAUAAAAACAACGUCUUGUCGGUUUCCAUUCACUGUGAAACUGAUACUGGCCGAGAAUUGCAGCCUUACGUUUCCGAGAUUUACCUUCAUCAUCGGGAAAUUUCGGAAAACUGCCACUCUUCAGGUGUAUCAACCUGUUUUCCGUAAUGUUCACAAAGCGAAGCUUCUCCAAAUGAUAGAUCGUCACAUCCAUGUCGUUCUUCUUCUUCUUCAAUGGCACUAACGUUCCUAGAGGAACUUCGCCGUCUCAACGUAGUAUUACUUGCGUCAUUUUUAUUAGUACUUAGUUGAGAUUUCUAUGCCAAAUAACACGCCUUGAAUGCAUUCUAAGUGGCAAGCUCUGGAAUACGCGUGACCACAGUGCAUGACGGAGGCAAUUUCUUUGACGAAAAAUUCCCCCGACCAGAACGGGAAUCGAACCCGAACACCCGGUAUGUUAGUUGUGACGCUAACCACUCGGCCACGGGAGCACAUCCAUGUCGUUGCUGUUUGGUAUUUAUCUGAUGAGUAACCUCCUGUGGCCGCUUACAGCUCCAAAAAUCAAUGAGAAAAAUUAUAAAUCGAAAUCUAUAUAAUUUUACAUGGUUUCAUUCAAAUGUAAACGAAUGCACAAUAAAUAUUUUGCUGCAGAAACUAUAACUUUUAAAACCAUUUGCCGUUUUUGUUUUUGUUUUGAUUUCGCAGAUGUCUGACUGCUGCGAUGAAAGUUCGAAUUCGAAAUUCACCGCCCUUUA